GCUCGGUUGUCCGGGGAGGUGCGGGGCGCCGCUGGCGUGGGCGUCCGAACGAGAGAGGAGGGGGAGGGGGACACGGAGAGAAAAGUUGUCACAGCUCUAGUGUGAGGUGAAGAGAAAGAUAUUUUAAAAGUAUCUCUCCUGAGCCAUGGGUAUGGUUUCCUUGGGAAUCAAGGACAGAAAACGGUCCCUGAAUCAAUCAUCUGUGAUAGAAAAGGUGUCAUCUUAUGAAAGUACGGGUGCUUUUCCAUAAUACCCCUUGAGGCUCGGGAGACAGACUGAAAGGCAGAGGCUCAGUUAAUGCCCUCAAUUAAGAACUACAUCUCCGAGAAAGAGAAUGCCCUUGAGCUAAAAAUGUAAUUCUUGGCCUGCAGUAUCCUGGCAGAGAUUAGAGCAGACAUCUGUUCCUGCACAUGGCUCUCUGUUGACAGCUGUGUGAUGCUCACCGAAACAAGCCUUGAACUGCUCUGCUUCGCCAUCUCAACAGGUUAACUGGAACUGAGGAUUUUGUAAUACAGCUUUACGUCUGUGCAAAUGCUGUGUCCUUUAAGUUUGAGUGGCUUUGUAAACAGUGAGUAGAUGUUAGGUCCCCUGGAUUUGGGGUCAGACGAUCAGUUCUGCCACUUGACAUGUGUGUGCCCCUGUAUGUGUCCUUCCUUGUAAUAAGGAAAUAUCAACAAUGCUUCCCACACUGACUUGUUUGGAGGAUUGAGGUAAUCAUAUGCAUAAAGGAUUUAGCAUAAUCUGUAACAAAUAAUAAGUGCUGAAAAGAUAUUAGUUGUUUUAAUUAUAUUCAUACUCAUUGUUUCAAGCAAGAAUGAUUCCACAGUCAUAGAUAGUUCUGUGAAGAGUCCAACUACAGCUCUCUUGUACAGCUAAGACUUUCUGUCUGUUGUUUAAAAUAAAGUACGGUUUGU